GUCUAUAGGCAGCACAUAUAUAAAAUUGGAACAAUACAGAGAAGGGUAGCAUGGCCCCUGCACAAGUAUGAAAUGCAAAUUCGUAAAGUAGUCCAUAAAAAA
rnacentral:snRNA from 1 species